GUCCUUCGAACAACGACAACGGACUCCUGUGAACAGAAGGUUGAUGCUGAUGAAAGAAUUUCGCUGGAGCUGGAUGGAGGAAUGAUAUCAUUAACUAUUUUUAGAAGGAUCAUAAAAAAUUUGUACUCAACCAAAAUAUUCUUCUUGUAGAAUAAUGAGGCAUGUGUUUUAGCUCCGGUCCGUCGAGCAUAUAUUUAAUCGUGUGUUCAUGUAGUCUAUGAUGAGAUGUUUAAGCUCCAUGUAAAUUUAUCUUGCCAACUGAAUUUUUUCAUGGCAUCAUAUUGAUGUUUCUUUGUCU